rnacentral:lncRNA from 1 species
AAGAAUGAAAGUGAGAAAAAAGAGAGAAGCAGAGAAGCUGGGCAGCCAGGCGCCCCGUGGGGUGGGAAGGAGGCUUUGUGGGCUGCUGGGCCCAGAGGGGACCAGACAGGAGCAGGUGCAGGCGGCCAGGUAGCCACUGCUGGAGGAGAUGGGGGUCGGGAGCGGGGGAGGGUGCCUGGGACUCCAGGUCCCCUUGGCCCCGGCCCCGCCGUCCGAGGUGGUCAGCGUCCUCCUGGCAUCUGGACCACGGUCCGCAGUCAGGAGGCACUGAGGCCCGCGUCCUGCCGGGGCCGCCACCAGGCCUCCCCUCAGCUCUGCUGCGGAGGCGGGAGGUGGCCCCCACGUGACCCACCUGCUGUCCUCCUCUCCCCCCAGGGCCUGAGCGGCAGCCUGCCAACCUAUAAUCAGCAAGAGCCCUGCAAGCCUCAGGAGGAAUGGCAACAUCUUUCCAGCGAAACCUGCCAGAGUACCCAGGGAGUGAUGGACACUGUCUUUGGGGAAGCAGCAGACCAGACUAUCUCCAGGUAACAGGGGCUCACAGCUCCCUGCCAUUUUUCUUGAUUUAUAAUUGAGACUUUCUAUCUGAUGAUUUUUUUUUAAAGAUUUUAUAUAUUUAUUAUGAGAGACACAGAGACAAAGGCAGAGGGAGACGAGACGCAGGCUCCUCACAGGGAGUCUGACGCGGGGCUCAAUCCCUGACCUUGGGAUCACGCCCUAAACUGAAAGUAGAUCUUCAACUGCUGAGCCACCCAGGGGUCCCUCUACCUGACAAUUUAAUGUCUAUCCAUCCCAGUAGAUUACUAGCUGCCUGAGAGCAGGGAUGAUUGUGUAUAUCUUGCUUAGCAAGGGGCCUGGCACACAAUAAGUGGUCAGUAAAUAUUUUUAUAGGGUGAAUGAAUGACUUUAAUUUAAUGAUUCAAAGCUCAGGCCCUGGAGUUACCUGGGCCUGAGUAUAAAUUUCAGUUUCUCCACUUACUAGGAAUCAGGCCAAUAAUAGUGCCUAUUCCAAAAAGUACAUUAUGAAUGGAUGGGCAUGCUUAGGGUUCUUUGCAAAUGAGCUAUAAUUUUUAUUAGGUGCUCGUUGGAUUAAAAAGGUUAACAUUUGUAAAGUACUUAUAAUAGUUCCCAGCUUCUUGUUUGUGUUUAUUUAUUUUUUUAAUGUUGCUGUUGGCCAAAUUAAGCUGUAUUCACUUUGCACAGUCUGUUAGCAAUAGUCUUUGGAAAUGCAUGCAUAGUCUUUGGAAAGAAAAUGCCUAAAAUACAUACUAUAAAUCCUCAUUAGUUCAAAAUAUAUUACUCUUAGAAUAUGUGAUAAUUCAGAAAAGAACCUGGUCCAAACACCUUUGUAGUAUUUAUGGAGAAAAAAAUUGUACUAUAAAAAAGGGAUCAUUAAACCAUUUAAGAAAAUAGUUUUAGAGCACUUUGGCAAUACCAUUAAUAUAUUAUUAGCAAUCCAACCAUGAGAAAAUUAUGUGGGGGGCCCAUAAAUUGGGACCCAUCUCCCAAACAUUAGUUUUCAAAUUUUUGAUCUGGAAUCAAAAUGUAGCAACGAAUUUUACAUUACG